UACGGGGGGGGCAAGCGUUGUUCGGAAUUACUGGGCGUAAAGAGCGCGCAGGCGGUCGUUCAAGUCGCGUGUGAAAGCCCCCCGGCUCAACUGGGGAGGGUCACGCGAUACUGAUCGACUGGAAGGCAGGAGAGGGUAGUGGAAUUCCCGGUGUAGUGGUGAAAUGCGUAGAUAUCGGGAGGAACACCAGUGGCGAAGGCGACUACCUGGCCUGUUCUUGACGCUGAGGCGCGAAAGCUAGGGGAGCAAACGGG
rnacentral:rRNA from 1 species